rnacentral:rRNA from 1 species
AACCCCGCUGGAACUUAAGCAUAUCAAUAASCKKMGGARWWKARACUAAACAAGGAUUCCCCUAGUAACUGCGAGUGAAGCGGGAAAAGCUCAAAUUUAAAAUCUGGCGGUCUUUGSCCGUCCGAGUUGUAGUUUAGAGAAGUGUUUUCCGCGCUGGACCGUGUACAAGUCUCCUGGAACGGAGCGUCAUAGAGGGUGAGAAUCCCGUCUUUGACACGGACUGCCAGUGCUUUGUGAUGCGCUCUCAAAGAGUCGAGUUGUUUGGGAAUGCAGCUCAAAAUGGGUGGUGAAUUCCAUCUAAAGCUAAAUAUUGGCGAGAGACCGAUAGCGAACAAGUACCGUGAGGGAAAGAUGAAAAGCACUUUGGAAAGAGAGUUAAACAGUACGUGAAAUUGUUGAAAGGGAAACGCUUGAAGUCAGUCGCGUCUGUCAAGACUCAGCCUUGCCUUUGGCUUGGUGUAUUUCUUGAUAGACGGGCCAGCAUCACUUUUGAUCGCCGGAAAAGGGUGGGGGAAAGGUGGCACCUUCGGGUGUGUUAUAGUCCCCUGUCGUAUACGGUGGUUGGGAGUGAGGAACUCAGCACGCCUUUAUGGUCGGGGCUUCGGCCUACGUUCGUGCUUAGGAUGCUGGCGUAAUGGCUUUAAACGACCCGUCUUGAAACACGGACCAAGGAGUCUAACAUGCCCGCGAGUGUUUGGGUGGAAAACCCAUGCGCGUAAUGAAAGUGAAAGUUGGGACCUCUGUCGUGGAGGGCACCGACGCCCGGACCAGAACUUCUGUGACGGAUCUGCGGUAGAGCGUGUAUGUUGGGACCCGAAAGAUGGUGAACUAUGCCUGAAUAGGGUGAAGCCAGAGGAAACUCUGGUGGAGGCUCGUAGCGAUUCUGACGUGCAAAUCGAUCGUCAAAUUUGGGUAUAGGGGCGAAAGACUAAUCGAAYCAUCUAGUAGCWGGUUUCCUGCCGAAGUUUCCCCUCCAGGAA